rfam:Loxodonta africana unplaced genomic scaffold scaffold_70, whole genome shotgun sequence.
GCAUUGGUGGUUCAGUGGUAGAAUUCUCACCUUCCAUGUGGGAGAUCCAGGCUCAAUUCCCAGCCAAUGGA